rnacentral:snRNA from 1 species
AGCUUUGCACAGUGGCAGUAUCGCAGCCAGUGAGGUUUAUCUGAGGCAGGGUUAUUGCUAAUUUAAAAAAAUUUUUAGCC